CGUAGGAUCCGAGCGUUGUCCGGAUUUACUGGGUGUAAAGGGUGCGCAGGCGGACUGGUAAGUCAGAGGUGAAAUCUCGCCGCUCAACGGCGAAACUGCCUUUGAUACUAUCAGUCUUGAAUCCGGUAGAGAUCUGUGGAAUUCCGAGUGUAGCAGUGAAAUGUGUAGAUAUUCGGAAGAACACCAGUGGCGAAGGCAGCAGAUUGGGCCGGUAUUGACGCUCAGGCACGAAAGCAUGGGGAUCAAACAGGAUUAGAGACCCUGGUAGUCCAUGCCCUAAACGAUGUUCACUUGAUGUCUGCCCUCAGGGUAGGUGUCGAAGCUAACGCGAUAAGUGAACCACCUGGGGAGUACGCUCGCAAGGGUG
rnacentral:rRNA from 1 species